rnacentral:rRNA from 1 species
CCCUUAGAUGCUCUGGGCCGCACGCGCGCUACACUGGUCGAUGCAACGAGUUUCUUUCCUUGGCCGACAGGCCUGGGCAAUCUUUGAACAUCGAUCGUGAUCGGGAUAGAUUCUUGUAAUUUUUGAUCUUAAACGAGGAAUUCCUAGUAAACGCAAGUCAUCAGCUUGCAUUGAUUACGUCCCUGCCCUUUGUACACACCGCCCGUCGCACCUACCGAUUGAAUGGUCCGGUGAAAUCUCCGGACUGGCGUGAGUCGGAGCAAUCUGACAAACGCCGGAAAGUUGAUUAAACCUUACCAUUUAGAGGAAGGUGAAGUCGUAAC